rnacentral:lncRNA from 1 species
CUGCGAGUUGGAGCGGACUGGAAUUCCGCUUCCCUUCCGUCCCGAAGUUUCUGCGCGGUGUCAACACACACAGUAGGACUCCUCUGCUGAGUACGUCUCGUCCUGCUGCGCUGAAAGGGAACACGCCUCACAGGACAGGAAGAGGUGCUGAUUGCUGUGCACAGUGACUGUAUAAACUGGUGGGAUUGCCAGUCUCUUAAGAAGCAGUGAAUUGUUCCCAGUUCCUGGCCUGCAGCAGCCGUGAGAAGCAGUGUUGUGUUCCCAGCCAUGAGUGUAAUGGAGGGCUUUCCUGUCCACUGAGUGUG